rnacentral:rRNA from 1 species
CCUACGGGGGGCAGCAGUGAGGAAUAUUGGUCAAUGGACGAGAGUCUGAACCAGCCAAGUAGCGUGAAGGAUGACUGCCCUAUGGGUUGUAAACUUCUUUUAUAUGGGAAUAAAAUGUUCCACGUGUGGGAUUUUGUAUGUACCAUAUGAAUAAGGAUCGGCUAACUACGUGCCAGCAGCCGCGGUAAUACGGAGGAUCCUAGCGUUAUCCGGAUUUAUUGGGUUUAAAGGGAGCGUAGGUGGAUUGUUAAGUCAGUUGUGAAAGUUUGCGGCUCAACCGGAAAAUUGCAGUUGAAACUGGCAGUCUUGAGUACAGUAGAGGUGAGCGGAAUUCGUAGUGUAGCGGUGAAAUGCUUAGAUAUCACGAAGAACUCCGAUGGCGAAGGCAGUUCACUGGACUGCAACUGACACUGAGGCUCGAAAGUGUGGGUAUCAAACAGGAUUAGAUACCCCAGUAGUC